rnacentral:rRNA from 1 species
CGCCUGCCCUGUGACUUGGAAGUUUAACGGCCGCGGUAUUUUGACCGUGCAAAGGUAGCGUAAUCACUUGUCUUUUAAAUGGAGACCAGUAUGAAUGGCAUAACGAGGGCCAAGCUGUCUCCUUUUUCUAGUCAAUGAAAUUGAUCCUCCUGUGCAGAAGCAGGAAUACCCCCAUAAGACGAGAAGACCCUAUGGAGCUUUAGACACAAGACAACCCAUGUUAAAAAACUAAAUUAAUAGAAAUAACAAAAUGACAUUUGUCCUUUUGUCUUUGGUUGGGGCGACCAUGGAGUAACAAGAAACCCCCAUGUGGAACAGGGCCUACCCCCUUAAAACCAGAGCCACAGCUCUCACCAACAGAACAUCUGACCAACAAGAUCCGGCAAAGCCGAUCAACGGACCUAGUUACCCUAGGGAUAACAGCGCAAUCCCCUUUUAGAGCCCAUAUCGACAAGGGGGUUUACGACCUCGAUGUUGGAUCAGGACAUCCUAAUGGUGCAGCUGCUAUUAAGGGUUCGUUUGUUCAACGAUUAAAGUCCUACGUGAU